rnacentral:rRNA from 1 species
GGGCUUGACAUCCCACGAACCUGCCCGAAAGGGUCGGGUGCCCGCAAGGGAGCGUGGAGACAGGUGGUGCAUGGCUGUCGUCAGCUCGUGUCGUGAGAUGUUGGGUCAAGUCCCGCAACGAGCGCAACCCUCACCCCUUGUUGCCAUCAGGUCAUGCUGGGCACUCUAGGGGAACUGCCCCGGUCAACGGGGAGGAAGGCGGGGAUGACGUCAAGUCAUCAUGCCCCUUACGUCCUGGGCUACACACGUGCUACAAUGGCCGGUACAAAGGGAUGCCACACCGCGAGGUAGAGCUAAACCCAGAAAGCCGGUCUAAGUUCAGAUUGGAGUCUGCAACUCGACUCCAUGAAGGAGGGAUCGCUAGUAAUCGCGUAUCAGCACGACGCGGUGAAUACGUUCCCGGGCCUUGUACACACCGCCCGUCACACCACGAAAGCCAGCUGUACUCGAAGUCGCUGAG